AUUGAACGCUGGCGGCAAGCCUAACACAUGCAAGUCGAACGAGUGGCGGACGGGUGAGUAAUGUCUGGGAAACUGCCUGACGGAGGGGGAUAACUACUGGAAACGUUAGCUAAUACCGCAUACAGUCGGAUGUGCUCAGAGUGGAUUAGCUAGUAGGUGGGGUAAAGGCUCACCUAGGCGACGAUCCCUAGCUGGUCUGAGAGGAUGACCGGCCACACUGGAACGGAGACACGGUCCAGACUCCUACGGGAGGCAGCAGUGGGGAAUAUUGGACAAUGGGCGCAAGUCUGAUGCAGCCAUGCCGCGUGUAUGAAGAAGGUCUUCGGGUUGUAAAGUACUGUCAGCGGGGAGGCGUUACCCGCAGAGGAAGCACCGGCUAACUCCGUGCCAGCAGCCGCGGUAAUAC
rnacentral:rRNA from 1 species